GCCUGCCUAAUUAAUUAGAGUGAUUAGUUUAUAGUGGCACCCAAAGUCUCUCCCCCCACCUCUAUCAACUCUUCUCCUUUCUUAUACCCACUUGCAUGCCUUCUUUCUUCUACACAUUCCAGAGACGGCCACCCUUCUUCUUCAGCUCCAAAAUGCUCCUCUAGCUAGCUCCAUAUCACUGAUCCAGCUAGCUUGAACAAGCUGUGCAACUCUCCUAGCUACAUCAAGAGGCAGUGAAGCUGGCGAACCGGUGGUGGAGCACGGGCGGCCAUUUGGGCCUGCCGGGCGAGCAGCCGUCCGGCUCAUCCGGCCCACCCAACCCCAAGCCCGAGCUCUCCGCCGCCAUGAUCAAAGACCCCGAGCCCGGAGACUCCAACAACGCCGACUCCGGCUCCGGCUCCGGCGGCGGCAACGGCACCACCAACAACGGCGCAGAGCCACGUGGCGGAGACCCAGGCACGGUGGUUCUUCCCGCGCCCAACCGCCGCCCACGUGGCCGCCCCCCGGGCUCCAAGAACAAGCCGAAGCCCCCGAUCUUCGUGACCCGGGACAGCCCGAACGCGCUGCGCAGCCACGUGAUGGAGGUGGCGGGGGGCGCCGACGUGGCGGACGCGAUCGCGCACUUCUCGCGCCGGCGCCAGCGCGGCGUGUGCGUGCUCAGCGGCGCCGGGACCGUCGCCAACGUGGCGCUGCGUCAGCCGUCGGCGCCGGGGGGCGCCGUCGUGGCGCUCCAUGGAAGGUUCGAGAUCCUCUCGCUGACCGGCACCUUCCUGCCGGGCCCCGCGCCGCCGGGCUCCACGGGGCUCACCGUGUACCUCGCCGGCGGGCAGGGGCAGGUCGUCGGGGGCAGCGUGGUCGGGGCGCUCACGGCGGCCGGACCCGUCAUGGUGAUCGCGUCCACUUUCGCUAAUGCGACCUAUGAGAGGCUGCCGCUGGAGGAAGAAGAUGAAGGUCCUGUGCAGGGAGGUGGCGGGGUUGAGCAGCAGCUGGGCAUGGCAGGGGGACAUGGCCAUGGGGUUCCCGUGGACCCGUCGGCGGCCAUGCCCAUGGCGCCCAUGUUCAACGGGCAGCUUGGCGGCGGUGGCGGCGACGGGUUCCCGUGGGCGCCGCACGCUCGCCCGCCUUACUGAUCGAUCGUCGAUCGGCCCGGCGGGCGAUAAUGGCAGAAUUGAAGAUUGCAAAGGAAGAGGAUCGUCAGUAGCAAGUCAUGGCGGAGGGGAAGACCCAUGAACCAACGUUCGUGAGCCUUAUCCCGAACGGAUCGCGUCCUGAUCGGGGGUGAUAACCGACUCGAUGGUUCUGGCCCCCCUCACACAGCGCCUUAUAAAAGGGGAUUAGCUGGCCCUCUCUCGUCGACCUAAGUUCACGUGAGAUCUCGUCUAAUCCCAACAACUCUUGUUCACCCUACCGAUCUGGGAGGCGCUGGAGUGCUUGGGAAGGCCACGAACUACGACUUCCUCUCCCGUCGUCGGCCAGUGCCGAUACAGGCCGGAGGGACGCCGCUACCUCACCCGUACGACUCCUUCGUCUAUUUCGGCUACUUCCACGACAAUGGCGUCCUCUUCCAAUCGCACUUUUCAGCUUUCGUGCAUCAAGAGGCGAAUGCUAAAAAAAAAUAGCAACUGCAUGUACGUAUGCAUCUGCACAAUGUUUUCAUCUCUACUACAAGGUUGGGGCUAGCUAGCUAAUUUUCAGUAAACUUGAAAUGCGUUGUAGCCAGAUAUAUAGGUAGCUUCUUACUGUGUUAAUAUUUGUAUAUCGAAUUACCAUCAAUAUUUAUGUUCUAUGAAUAUGUCAAAACAUUAAUUCUCGCUAACACAUUGGUUAUGAACUAGCUAGAUUGCAUGCAAUAUGCCCUCUGUUUCUCCUUGCUAACAGUAGUAGUACUACAUAGUGUAAUUCCAAUAGUUUUGAUAACUACACUUUACAAUAUUUAUUUUUUCGUCCGGGAAUUUACCCACGGCCGGUGUUUUGUUUAUAGAUAUCAUUUACAUUAUUUUGGCUUUGAAUUGUUUGGAAGUCUAGCUACCAAUGAAUUUAGGCUAGAUAUAUAUCUAGAUAAAAGCAAUGUUGAUUUCUCCAUGAUGCAUGCAAAAAAAACGUGGAAUUUGCUGUCCUAAAUAUAAAUGUGCUAAAUUAAGGCAGAUAUUGCCAAUGAUUUCAUCUAUACAACCAAGGAUUGAAUAGCAGGCUAGCAUAUAAGUAACCACAUAUAUUGGGGAAUUACUGUCCACUUUGACAUAUAUUACUAAGUACAUGCAUGUAUGAAGUAAUAGAUAAUUAAGAAACUAUUAAAAUUAGAGCGAGGACUAAUAUUUCCUCCAUUCUUAAAUAGAAAUAACUUAUAAAGUGUGUAGUCGACUUUGACUUGAAAUAUAUGUGUAAAUAUAUAGUUGAAUAUAGGGGGAAAUAUCAUUAAUUACUUUGAUUAUUGAAAAAAAUUCAAUGGUGUUAUAAUUUUAUACCAUUCUAAUAACAUAUCCGAAAGCUAGUGAUUUUCUAAUAAUAUAUUUGAAAUUGAUUUUGCAUGUUAGAGAAUGGACUGUAUUAAAAUGUUAACUCUUUGUGAACAUAGGGGUAGAUUAUUGGCAGGCAUGCAUAUGUUUCUAUAGACAGGCGUGCACAUGUAUAGUAAUAUGUAUUCUCGUAGAUAUUCUGUUCAAUUAAAGUUAAUUUUUUUCUCUAGUAGACAAUGUAUUUAAAGUAAACAUAAAAUUUCUUGGUACACAUAUACUAAAUAACUUACUGUAGUUUUUUGCAUGGGACCAAAUAACUUACUGUAAUAUACUCACUCCGUCCCAUAUUAAGUGAUGAAUUAUUACAUGUAUCUAGACGCUUUUUGGGUAUAGAUACAUCCAUAUUUGGACAAAUUAAGUCACUUAAUAAGAGACGGAGGGAGUAAUAUAAAUAGGUGUGCUAAUAUGUAAUAUGUGAAGUCAAUUGACCUAACUACUUCGGUGAAUGGAUCUUCGCACUGGUGUGUGUCGAGCUUCUGUUUUCAUGGCCAUGUCGAAUAUUGGUGUCCUUGGCCUAGCCUAGGUAGGUUGUAGAUGAGAGUUAUAAUCUCAAUUCCGCUUGAUUUUUCUCAGUUCAAAUCAAUUUUUUUUGCUAAUUAUUAUGUUGAGGCAAUAUUUUUGCAUCCCGUACGUCCAGAAUUAUAUAGCGG